AAUGGAGCAGAGACUGGAGCAGAGACAAGUUGUUCCCACUGAGCUCUCCUCAGAUUACAGAUUGGUGAUACAUCACAGGGGCUCAUGAAUGUGUCUUAAGCUGGGUCAUUGAAGUGGAAUGUUUUCACAAGACCUCCUCCACUUGCUACUGUGUCCGGAAUUGGUGGGUUCUUGGUCUCACUGACUUCAAGAAUGAAGCCGCGGACCCUCGCGGGAGUGGCAAAUCAAAGGCAUUGCAGCCUCUUUCAUCACUGCCGAUUGCUGAUGCCAACCAUGUGCCAAGUGCUUAAUACGUCACCUUAAAUCUUCUCAUCCACCCUCAGAGUAGCUGCAGCAUCAACCCAGUGCCCUGACUUUCAAGACGACUAUGAAAACACCCCAACUGCUGCUAAAUUACCAGCAACAAGGAUCUGGAAUUUUCCUGACAAGAGCAGUGCCUAUCCUGAGGCAAUCGUAUUUCUCCUUGACUUCUCUCCAGUAUCAGCUUGUUGCUUGACACCCCUGCACAGCCAACUGUGUAAUGUGGUGCAGCCAUCCAGCCCAGAACACAACAAGAAUAGAGUUGAUGAGCCCUCUUCUCCUCAACAAACACCUGUGAAAAAUGGGCCAAUUCACAGCUGCAAUGGUUGGGAGAAUUUCCUGUCUGGGAGUCUGGAAACUGCCAAGAGUGGAAAGCUGCAGCCAGCCAGCGAGGCCUCUGUUGUCACUGGCCCAAACAACAACAAAAACAACCGCAACAACAACAACAACAACAAAACAUGCCACGUGUGCACUGGCAUAUACAAACACGCCCACAGAACCAAACCAAGCGGACAAGGCUUCAAGGAGAGCUUCUGGGCGGCUCAUUCCCGCGGCGAGGCAUAUCCCUUGGCAUGGUGCCACUGCAGCCCAGCUCCCAGCCCCCCCGCCAUCUGUCAUCAGCGCUCUGCCUACUGUGGCAUUUCCCUCUUUGCUCGGCACCUCUCCCUAUUGCCGCCAUAUGAAAAAGGAGGUGUUUGCUUCCCCUUCCACCAUGAUUGUAAGUUUCCUGAGGCCUCCCGAGCCAUGCUGAACUGUGAGUUAAUAAAACCUCUUUCCUUUAUAAA
rnacentral:lncRNA from 1 species